rnacentral:tRNA from 1 species
GGAGAGGUGACAGAGCGGCUGAUUGUGCCGGUUUCGAAAACCGGUGUAUCCGAAAGGAUACCGGGGGUUCAAAUCCCCCCCUCUCCG